ACUGUCACUACUGAUGAUUCGAAUUCUUCUGCUCGCAUGCAGCAGUCUUGGAACUCUGCUAUAAAAGAGCAUGUUUGGAAGAAGACAUUAAUCGAGACCACCGAGUUAGAUCGAUAAAAACUUUCAUUUUCCAGUACUACAUCUCGUUUGUUUUAGACAGAUCUUGAGAUCAGAAAAAUGGCAUCAGUGAAGGCUGAAAAAACAGUGAGCACUCAAUCAUCUGGGCAGGUGAAGAAGGAGCCUGCAGCCAAGCCCAGUGAUAAUGCAACCAAAGCUCCAGCAUCCAAGUCCGGUGCAAAGAAAGCCGCACCAAAGGCGCCUCCGGAACCAAAGAAGAAGGGAAAAGGAGGCAAAUCAACAAAGCACUAACCAAACAGCCUGUGUGAUGUCUGAGUACAAAAAGCAGCUACAAGAAGAUCAGAGUUUACAUUUCUCUAAUACCCUUAUGGUUUAGUUAAAUUGUGUACUACGAAAUUAAUAUCCAUGUAAGUCUUAGCUAGGCUAAGCUUAUUUCAAUAACAACGAUGAUCUUCUAAGUA